UACAGAGGGUGCAAGCGUUAAUCGGAAUUACUGGGCGUAAAGCGUGCGUAGACGGUUACAUAAGUCGGGUGUGAAAGCCCCGGGCUCAACCUGGGAAUUGCAUUCGAGACUGCGUAGCUAGGGUGCGGAAGAGGGAAGCGGAAUUUCCGGUGUAGCGGUGAAAUGCGUAGAUAUCGGAAGGAACACCAGUGGCGAAAGCGGCUUCCUGGUCCAGCACCGACGUUCAGGCACGAAAGCGUGGGGAGCAAAUAGG
rnacentral:rRNA from 1 species